rnacentral:rRNA from 1 species
UAGCUACGGGAGGCAGCAGUGAGGAAUAUUGGUCAAUGGGCGAGAGCCUGAACCAGCCAAGUAGCGUGCAGGAUGACGGCCCUCCGGGUUGCAAACUGCUUUUAGUUGGGAAUAAAAAAAGGGACUUGUCCCUUCUUGUAUGUACCUUCAGAAAAGGACCGGCUAAUUCCGUGCCAGCAGCCGCGGUAAUGCUA